UGACGAUACAUCAUCAUUAGUCAAGUUACGUGAAAAGGGAAGCCAAGGAAUAAAUAAAGCGAGUAGAGAAAGAGAGGGUCAGAUACUAGCUUCUGCAGGACAGUUUGUCCACCAGGAAUGUAGAAAAUCAUAUACAAACCCAACAGAAAUCACAAAAACCAAAAGGCAGCAAAAUAUACUACAGGAAUCUCUAACUAAUAUACCGACCCUACGAUCAAAAUCAAAUUUCAGUCAUAAAGAUCAUUGCUUAUUCUGUGGGAAAGAGGCACAGCUAAAAGGCAAAUUAAAAGGAAACGAUGUUUUUCCUGUCCGAACGGAUGAUUUCCAGAAGAGGAUUGAACAAGUAUGCAAUGACAGAGACGAUGAGUGGGCAGUGGAAGUACGGGG
rnacentral:lncRNA from 1 species